rnacentral:sRNA from 1 species
UGCUCUGUAACCGGAGGGAGAGUGGGGG